rnacentral:rRNA from 1 species
AAAUUGAAGAGUUUGAUCAUGGCUCAGAUUGAACGCUGGCGGCAGGCCUAACACAUGCAAGUCGAACGGUAACAGGAAGCAGCUUGCUGCUUCGCUGACGAGUGGCGGACGGGUGAGUAAUGUCUGGGAAACUGCCUGAUGGAGGGGGAUAACUACUGGAAACGGUGGCUAAUACCGCAUAACGUCGCAAGACCAAAGAGGGGGACCUUCGGGCCUCUUGCCAUCAGAUGUGCCCAGAUGGGAUUAGCUAGUUGGUGAGGUAAUGGCUCACCAAGGCGACGAUCCCUAGCUGGUCUGAGAGGAUGACCAGCCACACUGGAACUGAGACACGGUCCAGACUCCUACGGGAUGCAGCAGUGGGGAAUAUUGCACAAUGGGCGCAAGCCUGAUGCAGCCAUGCCGCGUGUAUGAAGAAGGCCUUCGGGUUGUAAAGUACUUUCAGCGGGGAGGAAGGUGUUGUGGUUAAUAACC